rnacentral:rRNA from 1 species
GACGAACGCUGGCGGCGUGCUUAACACAUGCAAGUCGAACGAAAAGAGGGAAAGAGCUUGCUCUUUCCGGAAUUGAGUGGCAAACGGGUGAGUAACACGUAAACAACCUGCCUUCAGGAUGGGGACAACAGACGGAAACGACUGCUAAUACCGAAUAAGUUCCAAGAGCCGCAUGGCCCAUGGAAGAAAAGGUGGCCUCUACCUGUAAGCUAUCGCCUGAAGAGGGGUUUGCGUCUGAUUAGCUGGUUGGAGGGGUAACGGCCCACCAAGGCGACGAUCAGUAGCUGGUCUGAGAGGAUGAACGGCCACACUGGAACUGAGACACGGUCCAGACUCCUACGGGAGGCAGCAGUGGGGAAUCUUCCGCAAUGGGCGAAAGCCUGACGGAGCAACGCCGCGUGAGUGAUGACGGCCUUCGGUU